AUCAUUUAUCGAGGAGUUCAAUAAUAUGUCUGGGAGUGUUGUGUGUUUGUCUGAAGGAGUGGUGUGUGUUUGUCUGAAGGAGUGGUGUGUGUUUGUCUGGGAGAGUGGUGUGUGUUUGUCUGAAGGAGUGGUGUGUGUUUGUCUGAAGGAGUGGUGUGUGUUUGUCUGGGAGUGUUGUGUGUUUGUCUGAAGGAGUGUUGUGUGUUUGUCUGGGAGUGUUGUGUGUUUGUCUGAAGGAGUGGUGUGUGUUUGUCUGGGAGUGUUGUGUGUUUGUCUGAAGGAGUGGUGUGUGUUUGGGAGAGUUGUGUGUUUGUCUGAAGGAGUGGUGUGUGUUUGGGAGUGUUGUGUGUUUGUCUGAAGGAGUGGUGUGUGUUUGUCUGGGAGUGUUGUGUGUUUGUCUGAAGGAGUGGUGUGUGUUUGGGAGAG
ensembl:lncRNA